ensembl:lncRNA
AAGCGAUGUCACUGAUGUUGUCACUGCUGAUGUGACGCUAUACCUUGUUUAUGGUAGUACCUGACCUGCCAUAAAGUUAUGUUAACGCUGUGCUUUAGAUUACAGCCAGGAGUGUGGCAGAGGAGGAAUUUUGCACUUUCAUAUAAAAUCCACUUUUGGACUAAGUAGAUCAGUUAAUGGCUGGACUAUGGAGGAGAAGUUUUUGCAGAAGUUCCUGUAAUAACCUACCAUUCCCAGGAAUCUGCACAGUUCAAGUCCUUUGUUUAGGUGUGGGAUAUUCAUUAAUCGCCACCACUUUGGCGCUAAGGGGCCGCACCUGACCACGUCCCACUUCCCUGCUCAAGUAUGUUACAGUGGCCUUGGCAAAUUCACACUUUGUCAGGUUGAGUGUCAGCGCUUAUUAAUCUUGAAACCUGCAUGACACACUGGCAGACAGAAAAGACCAUUCGGUGAAAAUAUCAAUUCUGGGGAUCUGGAACAUGGAAAGCAGAAUAUCUAAACAACAUUAUUGGUGUGUUUUGCCUCAGUUUUAUUGAUAUUUAUAUGCUUAUAUUUUAAAAACUGUAAACUCUCACUGUGGAUAUAAGAGCCAAAUUGUGGAUAUUUUGCAUCCACUUUAUUGUGUAAUAUUUUAAUUGAUUGUAUUUGAUGGCUUAGGCCCCAGGAAGACUAGCAACCACUGUUGUGGAAGCUAAUGGAGUUCCUUAUAAAUAAGCAGACAAAUAAACACUAUUCUAAUCUUAUAUUACAUUCUUAGCAAAUUUACAGCAAAUGAAACAAAGCACAAAGUCACAGUUGUUUUUUUUAUUUUAUUUUUUUUAUUUUAUUUUGUGGUUUGACGCUGUUUCUUAACUCAAAAUGUCCUGUUGUAAUUGGACAUUUUGAGCUAAGAAACAGUGCCAAGCCCCAACAACACUUCCCUCAUGGUGCUUUAUAUUGUAAGGUGAAGACCCUACAAUAAUGCACAAAAACUAACCCCCUAGAGCAAGCACAUUGGCGACAGUGGGAAGGAAAAACUCAC